UUUUAUGGCACUUUUUAAUCCAUAUCCACCUUGUGUGCAAUGUCAGUCGAUCUUCUUCAUGGAGAUCGACCAAACAUCAACCUUUAUCUUUUAACUCUUUGUCUGAAAAAUAUUAUGAAUAAACAAUUCAAAAUACAACUUUCAACAACGGAUCUCUUGGCUCUCGCAUCGAUGAAGAACGCAGCGAAAUGCGAUACGUAAUGUGAAUUGCAGAAUUCAGUGAAUCAUCGAAUCUUUGAACGCAUAUUGCGCUCUUUGGUAUUCCGAAGAGCAUGCUUGUUUGAGUAUCAGUAAACACCUCAAAGCUUUUGGAUUUUUUUAAUCGAAAAGCUUUGGACUUGAGCAAUCCCAACACCAAUCUUUUUGAGAUCGGUGGCGGGUUGCUUGAAAUGCAGGUGCAGCUGGACAUUCUCCUGAGCUAAAAGCAUAUUCAUUUAGUCCCGUCAAACGGAUUAUUACUUUUGCUGCAGCUAACAUAAAGGGAGUUUGACCGUAUUGGCUGACUGAUGCAGGAUUUCACAAGGGUCGGCAACGAUUCUUGUUAAACUCGAUCUCAAAUCAAGUAAGACUACCCGCUGAACUUAAGCAUAUCAAAGCCCGGAAGGAAA
rnacentral:rRNA from 1 species